rnacentral:sRNA from 1 species
CAGCUGGUGAUAUCCAAAGACUGAUGCUCUGGACCUGGAUUAAUGAGCUGCUUCAAGAUCCUGCUACCUUGACAUCUCUACCACCAUAAUAAGAUGUAAAAAACUCCAAGGCCACAGCGCAGAUUCACCUCCGUCUAGCUCGAUGACAGUAGUUCCAGCAUAGCCAGUUCCUGCAAUCGAAGAUCA